GCGGUUCCGGUUCACGGCUACGCGUAGCCGACCCGGCGACC
rnacentral:ncRNA from 1 species